rnacentral:sRNA from 1 species
GCCAGGCGUGGUGGUGCAUGCCUGUAAUCCCAGCUGCUCAGGAGGCUGAGACAGGAGGAUCCUGAGUUCAAGCCAGCAUCAUCAACAGCGAAGUACUAAGCAACUCAGUGAAACACUGUCUCUA